rnacentral:rRNA from 1 species
UUCCUUAAGAAGAUAUUUAAGGUAUAGCCUGCUCCAUGUCUUAUAUAAAUCGCUGCGGUAUCUUAACUGCACUUAGGUAGCAUAAUUAAUUGUCUUUUAAAUGGUGACUUGUUUGAAUGGUUGAAUGAGAGAAAAAUUUUUUUUAAAUUAAUAUGAAAUUAUAUUCUUUGGUUAAAAUACCUAGAUAUAAGAGAAAGACGAGAAGACCCUGUUGAGUUUUACAAUUUAUUUGUUAAAUGGGAAAUUUGCCCCCUUUUUGGGGGCUGUUAGAUCCUUGAUUAAUAUAUUUGGAAAAAGGACAAAAUUACCACAGGGAUAACAGGAUAAUAUUGGUUGAGAGUUCAUAUCGAAACUAAUGAUUAUUACCUCGAUGUUGAAUCGGAAUGUCUUAUUGGUGUAGCAGUUAAAUAAGAGGGUCUGUUCGACCUUUAAAAUUUC